rnacentral:rRNA from 1 species
CAUGCAAGUCGAACGAAGCGCUUUAUUCAGAUUCUUUCGGGAUGAUGAAUUUAGUGACUUAGUGGCGGACGGGUGAGUAACGCGUGGGUAACCUGCCUUACACAGGGGGAUAACAGUUAGAAAUGACUGCUAAUACCGCAUAAAACAGCAGCACCGCAUGGUGCAACUGUCAAAGAUUUAUCGGUGUAAGAUGGACCCGCGUCUGAUUAGCCAGUUGGUGGGGUAACGGCCUACCAAAGCGACGAUCAGUAGCCGACCUGAGAGGGUGACCGGCCACAUUGGGACUGAGACACGGCCCAAACUCCUACGGGAGGCAGCAGUGGGGAAUAUUGGACAAUGGGCGAAAGCCUGAUCCAGCGACGCCGCGUGAGCGAUGAAGUAUUUCGGUAUGUAAAGCUCUAUCAGCAGGGAAGAAAAUGACGGUACCUGACUAAGAAGCCCCGGCUAACUACGUGCCAGCAGCCGCGGUAAUACGUAGGGGGCAAGCGUUAUCCGGAUUUACUGGGUGUAAAGGGAGCGUAGACGGAAGUGCAAGUCAGAAGUGAAAGCCCGGGGCUUAACCCCGGGACUGCUUUUGAAACUGUGCAUCUAGAGUGCAGGAGAGGUAAGCGGAAUU